CAGGAUCAUGUCUGCCUGCAUGCUGCUGUGUCCCACCAUGGUGAUAAUGGACUGAACCUCUGAAACUGUUUUCAUUUAGGCUGUGGAGUUCUGCCACUGGGAAAUGAUUGCUCAGGCACAUGCUGGCCUGGAAGAAAGGCCAGGUGAUGAGGAAGUGCAAAGAUGGUCACCUACAAGCCCAGGAGAGAAGAAAUCAAAUCUGCUGAUGCUCAGAAUUGGACUUCCAGUCUUCAUAACUGC